GACGAACGCUGGCGGCGUGCUUAACACAUGCAAGUCGUACGGUAAGGCCCUUUCGGGGGUACACGAGUGGCGAACGGGUGAGUAACACGUGAGUAACCUGCCCACAACUUUGGGAUAACGCUAGGAAACUGGUGCUAAUACUGGAUAUGUGCUCCUGCUGCAUGGUGGGGGUUGGAAAGCUCCGGCGGUUGUGGAUGGACUCGCGGCCUAUCAGCUUGUUGGUGGGGUAGUGGGCUACCAAGGCGGCGACGGGUAGCCGGCCUGGGGGGGUGAACGGCCACAAUGGGGCUGGGGUACGGCCCAGGCUCCGACGGGGGGCAGCAGGGGGGAAUAUUGCACAAUGGGCGCAAGCCGUAUGCAGCAACGCCGCGGGCGGGAAGACGGGCUUUGGGUUGGAAACCGCUUUCAGCAGGGACGAAGCUUUUUGUGACGGUACCUGCAGAAGAAGCACCGGCUAACUACGUG
rnacentral:rRNA from 1 species